CCCUGCUCUGUCACUGGCCACACAGGCUGUUUCUGCUGCUCACCAAGCAGACUCGCAGUGUCCCCUCCUAGCAGAAGGUGUCUCUCUCCUGUUCCUGCCGCCCCACUAGAGCCCUCCCAUUGUGAGUCCCGGCAGGGCCCUGCACUCUUCAGUGCCAGCCCCAGGCCGAUGGUGGCUGCAGAGCAGGCUCUGCCUCCUUCAUCUUCCCGGGCUUCACUUGUUUCAGAGCUGUUUCACCCGAUAAGCUCAAAGCACCGCAAGAACCAAAACCCCGUGUCUUUGUAUUGGUCACUGAGUUGUCCCCAGCACCCAGCUCUGUGCCCAGCACACAGGACACAGCAAGUAAGUAUUUGUGUAAGGGAUGAAUGAGUGAGCUCAUCUCAUCCUCACUGUCUGACUAUAGGGCCCGGCCCCGAAGCCCAAACUCUAGACCUCGCCCUUCACUUUGAC
rnacentral:lncRNA from 1 species